rnacentral:rRNA from 1 species
GUCUACAGCCAUGCCACCCCGAACAAGCCUGAUGUUUGACCUUGGAAACUAAGCAGGGUCGGGCCUGGUUAGUACUGGACAGGAGACCACCUAGGAAGACCAGGUGCUGUAAGCU